CGGGGGUCGAUCCAGCUCGUCUGCUUCGUGUUGUGGUCGAUGUAGAAGACUUUGCCGUCGUAAUCCCUCGCCUCCUCCCAGCCAUCGGGAGAAGAGUACCCCAGGCUGGUUACCAUGGUUCAGCUGAUAGAAGCCUUGUCUCCAAAUGACCCAUAUGCCUCCCUCCUCCAGACUCUCUUCAAUAUUUUGACGUCUGUUGUAUUAAGGUAGUCAUGGCACCUGAGGGGAUACUCAGUUCCUGCUCUCUGUCACCACCACGGCAGCCAGACCCACAUCUUUGAUUAUCGGUCAGAUGAGAUCCUUAUGGACGUCGAUCUGAGUUAUAACCAUCUUUACCAAUGUAAUAAUUCUCAUCAGAAGACAUAAAAAUUAUAUUUUGCAUGAAUAAAUGGAAAUUGUAGUUGUUAAAUUUUGGAAAUAAAUGCACUGAAGUCAUUGCUCAAUUGUCUAGUUUUUAUAUAUAUGCUUGUGUGUCUCUAUACCGAUGUACUUACGUUCAAGUAUAAACUGCUGCAU